rnacentral:rRNA from 1 species
AUUGAACGCUGGCGGCAGGCCUAACACAUGCAAGUCGAGCGGCAGCGGGACCUUCGGGUUGCCGGCGAGCGGCGGACGGGUGAGUAAUGCCUAGGAAUCUGCCUGUUAGUGGGGGAUAACGCGGGGAAACUCGCGCUAAUACCGCAUACGUCCUACGGGAGAAAGCGGGGGCUCUUCGGACCUCGCGCUAACAGAUGAGUCGAGGUCGGAUUAGCUAGUUGGUGGGGUAAUGGCCCACCAAGGCGACGAUCCGUAACUGGUCUGAGAGGAUGAUCAGUCACACUGGAACUGAGACACGGUCCAGACUCCUACGGGAGGCAGCAGUGGGGAGUAUUGGACAAUGGGCGAAAGCCUGAUCCAGCCAUGCCGCGUGUGUGAAGAAGGUCUUCGGAUUGUAAAGCACUUUAAGUCGGGAGGAAGGGCUGUAGGCUAAUACCUUGCAGUUUUGACGUUACCGACAGAAUAAGCACCGGCUAACUUCGUGCCAGCAGCCGCAGUAA